rnacentral:rRNA from 1 species
UCCUGGCUCAGAUUGAACGCUGGCGGCAUGCCUUACACAUGCAAGUCGAACGGCAGCGGACCUUCGGGUGCCGGCGAGUGGCGAACGGGUGAGUAAUAUAUCGGAACGUACCUUUCAGUGGGGGAUAACGUAGCGAAAGUUACGCUAAUACCGCAUAUUCUGUGAGCAGGAAAGCAGGGGAUCGCAAGACCUUGCGCUGAUUGAGCGGCCGAUAUCAGAUUAGCUAGUUGGUGAGGUAAAGGCUCACCAAGGCGACGAUCUGUAGCGGGUCUGAGAGGAUGAUCCGCCACACUGGAACUGAGACACGGUCCAGACUCCUACGGGAGGCAGCAGUGGGGAAUUUUGGACAAUGGGCGCAAGCCUGAUCCAGCCAUGCCGCGUGAGUGAAGAAGGCCUUCGGGUUGUAAAGCUCUUUCGGCCGGGAAGAAAUCGCACGGGUUAAUACCCUGUGUGGAUGACGGUACCGGAAUAAGAAGCACCGGCUAACUCCGUG